ACAGGUCAAGCUGGUACCCGGUUCAGGGCACAGUGACCCUGGCUAUAAUGGUCACCACUGCUUGCUAAUGGCUUGUUUUGCCUGCCCUGAUGAUGCUUGAAGUUGGUGGCCAGACCUUGUUUGUCACAGGGCAGGUGCCAGGAGCCAGGUUCCCUGACUUCCACUCUUCGGGAUCACAGGGGGACCCCAACAGAUCAAAGGCACAGCUGAGUGACGAGGCAGCUACCCUCUGGGGACCGAGGUGGCCCCCUGUCACUUGGAAAGGGCCCUUUUGAUUGGCACAUGGUUGCCAUCAUCCAGUGUAGUCAUAGGCACAGUGGUGGUGGCCCCAGGGGCAGCGCGGAGGACCUCAGAGUUUGGGCCCCAUGGACAUGCUUGGCAGAGUGGAGAAUACAGCACAGAAGUCGCUGGUAAUUCAGGGCCCUUCGGUGAUACCCUGGACCCGAGCUUUCGGUCCUCUGACCAUGUUGGUAACACUCAUGGCCCUGGCUAGGAAGCCUUCAACUCCAUCCACGGUCUCCGAAAUCCAGGUCUCUCACGGCAUGGAUUUACUUCCUCUUAGUGACAUCUCCUGGUGCCACCUCGUUUUCCAUGUGACAGCACCAUCCGGGUGUCACCCUCUCAGUGGGGGACCAGCAGGGCCUCCUCCCCGACUCCUGGAACGCUCCCCUUCUCCCGCUCCUACUUCUCUAGAGCACACUUUACUCCUCACUCCUCCAAGAUCUGAAACUUCCUCGCUAGUUACUAAUGGAAAAUUUCACCCUGACCUCAUGCAACAGCUCCCAGUCAAAGCACAGGUGGGCACCGCACAGCCUCAGCACUGGGACUCAACACAGUCUCCUCAGUACCCCCCGGGGAAAAAUGACCCGGCCCCUCAGGGUAGUGUUAUCUUCCUCCAUGCAGGCGCAGCUGCAGAGGAGGGACACUCCCCAGUCCGAAAGAAUUGGAAACCCGGAGCCCGGUGGUCUUAAGCCUUUCGGAUGAGGGAAACCAGCCUGGCAUUGACAGCCUUCCACCCACCCCAGCUGGCUGGACUACUGCUGCUUGCUCUUCAGAACUCCCAAGCAGGAGGCCAGGAACAGCGGGGCUGGACCCCUGCGUGCUGAUUUCUGUCUCCAUUUUGCAGAUGAGAAGAUGCAGUUAAAUUGGUUUGGAGGACCCACAGGUGGUGAGGACACUGCUGGCCACAGGGCCGGGCGGGGCUGCUGUGUGGCCCUUCUCUUUCUGUCCUUAUCAUUAGAUCUGCCAGGAACUGUUUCUCCUUUUGGUGAUGCUGGGGCUGGAACCUGUUGCUUCCCGCAUGCUAAGCAAGUGACCCCUGAGCUACCCUUCAACACUUGCCAUGUUCACGUAGGCCCUGCCACUCGUGAGACACAAAGGCUGCUUUCAUUUCUUUUUUUUCUUUUUUUUUUUUUUUUUGAGACAGGGUCUCGCUAUGCAGUUCAGGCUGGCCUUGAGCUCACUUUGUAGCCCAGGCUGGUCUCAAACUUGUAACGAUCCUGCCUUAGCCUCCUUAAAGGCCAUCUGUUAUUAUUAACUCUUUCCUUAGAGUAAAUAAAAUGAGACCCUCUUGUAGAAAAGAACCUAAGCUAAGUGCCCCACUGAGACAGAACAAAGCUGGCUAUCGUGUGGACCGGCGGUGGCGAGCCCAUGGCACGGGUGCCAGCUGUGACUGUUGAAAGCUCUCAAAGGUUCGCCAUCACUGCCGUAGACAGAGCAGCUUCUUUAAAAGGGGUUUUUGGGUCCAUAUUUGCUAUUCAUAAUGCUCGCCGUGCUGGCGGGGAGGGGCACGCCACCCUUGCACUUGCAGAAGCUCCUCCCCACCGCUAGGGGACGCUGGCUCCCCACACCAGCCCUGUCCUACAGGUGUAGAGGACCCGGCGAGGCUCCCUGCGCAGCCGCCUACCUCCAGCCCAGUAUCUGGGGUCCGGCCAGCUCAGGGGUCACUGGUGGGAACCGCUGUCCUUUCUUUAGCUAGUUUACCUUUCCACGUGUCAUCUUCUAAAAUUAUGCUAACGAGAGAAAAGAACCAACAAAGAACCAACAAACAAGAUCCCCCCACAACCCCCAAAGAGCAGCAACAAUAGCAAUAAAAACCCCAAAGCGCGCUUGAGUUAGGAGGCCUGGGCGGAGGCCUGUUCUGCUGCGGGGACCUCAGAAGUCACGGUCAUUUCUGAGCCUCGGCCUCUUGGUCCCAUAAGGGGCAGUGAGGGCCUAUGCAUGACAUAACGGGGACAGACAGAGGCGGUACGUGGACGGGGUCCCAUCUCCUCCAACACUGCGACCCAGGCACUUUUAGGGAGUUUCCCUGCAGGUGGCGCAGAAAUCAGUGUCCUUGUGACGACCCACUGGGCCCGUCUGCACCUUGGAGUAGGAGAGAGGAACUGUUGGUCCCUGUGCCAGCCUCGGCAGUGCGACAGCUUUCCUGUUCACGCGCGAGCCACGCGUGGUUCCGUGCGGUGGCAUGCUGGGAGGUGAUGUCCAGACGGGGAGAGAAUAUUCCAGACGGUGGCACAGAGGUACCGCUCCACAGCUGUUCUCACAGGCCGCUACUGAGUCCUCCAGAUUCUUAAUCUAAAGGAUUCUUUCCUUUGCUCUGUCUUUUCUAUUGGAGUUUUGUUCUGUUUUUUGGCUCUUUAGUUCAAGGUGGUCUUGAACUCACUAUGAAGUCCAAGCUAGCCUCGAACUCAUGGUGAUCCCCCUGCCUCAGCCUCCCAAGUGCUAAGGUUACAGGCAUGCGCCACCGUGCUAGACUUCUUCUUUUGGAGCUUGAGCGACGCCUGGCCCCGUUAUCCACCUAUACUGGAUGAGCAACAUGUCGUGGGCAGUGGUAAUAAUUCUUCCGUGACAGUGGUGAGCUCAGCCUGGCUGGUACCAGCUGUCGAGAGAUGACUGUUAAACAUUUAGGAUGUUUGUCAUCUGGUUGUUAAAUGAUCGACCGCUUUGAGAGCAGCCACGGAAGAGCUGUUUCCACCAUGGACCUGACAGAUGCUACAGAUCAGAAUUCGUGUUUCUUCCCAGGCAGCGGGCUUACCAGCACCCUGCUGCUUACGGUGAGGAAAACCCACCGUCAUUUAUUCCUGAGGAAAACCAAGAAGCAACAACGCCUCGCUCCUGUCUCUUGCAAAGGGUACACCCCACGGAUUGAUCCACAGGCCGGAUCAAGUGGAGCCCAGCGUGGGGGCUCCUGGCACGGGGGAGUCAACGAGGGAGCCGUUCGAGAACGCCGGCUAAAAGUGGAAGCAAAUUGAAUCAAGGAACGAGACUAAAAGUGAAAGCACAUUGAAUCAAGGACCGAGGCCUGAGUGGAUGACUGCCCAACGUGCCGCCCGAGUCAUGGUGAGUGAACGGCAACCUCAUUCCCUUUCCCGGACAUGGGUCAAGCAUUGAGCGAACAUAAAUUGUUCGUGGGAGGCCUUAGCAAGGCAUUAAAGACAAGAGGGGUAAGGGUGAGAACAAAACAAUUGUUGCAGUAUUUUCAGUUUAUCCAUAAAGUUUGCCCUUGGUUCCCCCUAGAGGGCUCUAUAGAUACCAAGAGGUGUAAAAGAGUAGAAGAUGCUCUAAAAGAUUAUUAUAGGGUUUUCGGUCUGGAAAAGCUUCCAGUGACCACCUUUGCAUACUGGAAUUUAAUCUCUGAGCUGCUUGCCCAGCGGCAUGCAGACCCUAAGAUUGAGGAGACGGUCGCACAAGGCCCUCCGAGCUACACAGCCUUAUAGUGCCCCUAAGAUGGCACCUGCCUCCGGCAAGCCUUAUGGCACCCUUAAAAUGGUGCCUGCGUCUGGCAGCCUUGCCCACAGGAAUAUAAGUCAUAUCAGAUAGAGAUGCAUAGCUCCUGUUGUGAUGCUGUACAAGAAUGUACUGGCUUAGAUAAUGCCACUUAUUUUACAGCCAUACUUACAAAAAUAAAAAUGGCAGCAGCCGGAGGCAAUUGGGGCCUCAACCCCUUUGUAUCAAGAAGCCCCAUAUACACCUGAGCCUCCUGCAAAGGCAAAAUCAACAAGCCAGUCUGUUGGUAUAAGAGGGCUCCAAUCCAUGUCUCAGAUGGGGGAGGUCCUCAAGACAAAAUGAGAGAACUUUAUGUUGAGAAAAAACUAAAAGAAAUAGAACAGUCUAUUCCCAAAGAUCAAUUACCACCCGUUAGCUCUCCCCCAGUCACGGGGUGUGGAUUUAGACCCACAAACUUAUGAUAUCCUUUCAGCCAUUCACCAUGUACUUAACCUUACUAACCCUGAUUUAGCGCAAGACUGCUGAUUGUGCAUGGCUUUAGGCAGUCCUAUGCCCUUAGCCAUCCCCUCCAACUCAACAAUUGACCCCUUUCGUGAUCCACAGAAUUUUACCUGUAGACCUUCCCAAUCGUUUCUAGUCCAGCCAUUAUAUUCUAGUACACCCAACAUAUCCAUGACCUGCCUACAGGGCUCUCGCCAAAAUGAUUCUACUCUCAUAGAUAUGGGCCAUCUCCUGUCCACAAUCUGUGUUCAAUUUGUCAAUCAUACAGCCCGCCUGGACCCCCGACAGGACACAUUUUUGUCUGUGGUAAUAAUAGGGCCUAUACCUAUAUUCCAGCCAAUUGGACAGGUACAUGCAUAACUGCUUCCCUCCUGCCCGACAUAGAUAUUGUCUCAGGUGACCAACCUGUUCCAGUGCCACCACUUGAUUACAUUGCUGGCCGCCAAAAACAAGCCAUAACACUGAUCCCGUGUUUGGUGGGAAUGGGCAUCACUGGCACUGUAGCCAUGGGUACUGGUGGCCUUGCCGUUGUCUUAGAUAAAUAUGCUGAUCUAUCCAACCAGUUGUCUGAAGAUGUUCAAGCUUUAUCCUUUAUUAUAAAAACUCUCCAAAACCAACUAGACUCACUGGCAGAGGUCGUCUUACAAAACAGACGAGGGCUAAACCUGCUCACGGCAGAGCAGGGGGGAAUCUGUCUCGCCUUACAGGAAAAAUGUUGCUUCUAUGUCAAUCAGUCCGGUGUUGUGUGAGGCAAACUCCAAGAAAUAGAAGAACAACUUCAACAGUGACGACAACAAAUGGCUGCUAACCCCUUCUCCUCAAUGUAGGGGGACUUUUCCCUUACCUGCGCCCCUUUUGGGUCCCCUAGCUGCCCUGUUGCUUCUCCUUUCUGUGGGUCCUUGUAUUUUUCAGAGGAUUAUGACGCUCAAUAACUGGAUAGACGCGUUUAUGGCAAAGCCCAUUCAGGUACAGUAUCAUCAGCUGGAGAUGGCAGAUCAACAAACCUACCGGGAAGGAAUUCCCACGAAUGGCCCAUAUGACGACGCGGCCUAACUGCCCUGGAGCAAUGGACAGGCAGCCAGAGACGGGCAACUAGGACAUACAUGCUACACCACCGGCCGCCUAAGACAGGCACAGGACCAACUGCUGUCCUGCAAGCCCAUGACGGGAAAUGAGUUAACCUGCCGUUGCUCUCAUGGGUAAAGUAUGUGCUGAUGCAUUCUGCCUUUCGCUUCUGCGGCUCUGUCAACCCCCAGCCCCCUUUUUCCCUGUCAGUGGCUCCAGGAUACCUAAGGAGAGAUUUUCCAUGUAAGUAAGCCAAGUUUAGUAAAAACAGGAGUGUACAUACAUAUGAGAUGUGAUAAAAUACAGACUAUUUCAAUUAAAAACUUAUGCAGUAAAACCUCAUCACCAUUAAUGCCCUUAAAAUGCUUCCCUCACUGUGAGCACACUCACCCCACGGUCCUGGCACCUUUCUGCAGCAGCUCCGGAGUCCCCUUUCCUGGGCAUCUUUAGUUGCACUGUUCUGGCCACCUCGCUGUCCUGCAUGGAUCCCAAAGAUUAACUUGUCACGGUCACUUUGACUUUGGGGAGGGGCCAGAGGUUGCACGGUGCCAGAGCCAGUGAGCAAGGUGCACAGGGAUGCAGCGCGAUGUCUUCAUGGGCUGCCUUCUGUUGCAGGGCACCCAGCAUUAGUUAGAUAAAUGGUGGGGAUCCCGUAGGAAAACUCAGCCAGCCUGCAGGUGCUCACUUCUCCCCUUCUCCUCUCCUCCCUGGCCCUUUGCCCGCCUCCAUCUCCUUCCUGUUAAACCCAAUCCUCUGUGCCCUGGGCUCCCCUGAGCAGGGUCCCUGUGGGAUUUCCUCUGCCUGCUGGCUUGGUCCUCUGUGUACCUGCAAGAGCACGAGUGUGGGAAGCCCUUUGGCUGACCCGUAGCUCAUGCAGGCAUCGAGAGGCCCCUGCGCCUGGGUGGCAGGAUGACACACCUCCUCCUCUCAGCCACCCAUGAGGCAGCUGCUGGACCAGUGCUGCACCCCCCAUCCUCUCCUGCAGACCAGGGCUCCUAGAGGGUUCUGAUAACCGCUGUGGAGGGAGAAGGUUUGAAGGAGCACUGCAGAAUUUGACUGUCAACUUAACCCAAACUUGGGGACUUUUCAGGAUGUCAUUGACUAUAACAUUGAUGUUACUUGGCUUCUUAAAAAUGCCAGAAAUGCUCAAGGCUGGGGUGGCACUUCUGUGUCGUCACUGGCUGUCUUCUUGUUUUCUGGCCUGUUCUCUCUGUUCUGUGGGCAGCAGGAGUGCCUAUGCCUAUGCAACCAGGGGAAGGUGGUGGUGUAUAAUUAUGCUGGUGAGGCAUGGUUUCUGAGAAAUUGAAGUUCUCUUCUCAUCACCCGCCUUUGCAGGUGGUGAGGUCUCCAUUACUGGGAGUAACCAAGUGAGUUGGCCAAGAAAACCUCCUGGAAUAUAUCAAUUGAAAUAUUUAAGACUGUAGGGCUUGCAUGCAGUAAUGAGCUUUUGGGGUUUUCACCUUCAAUGAACCUCACACAGGGUGAUUGCUGGAGAGUACAGGGUGGGGUUGUUUAAGCUCUCCCCAGCCUUCCCUUCUCCAAAGCACCUGAAGAUGCUCCCUUGAGACCGCUCUCCCCAGAAGUGUGUCCCUGCGUGUUACAUCUGUGAUACUCAGGGUGCCUAUGGGCAAUGCACCAGCUCCUCCUGGUGCCUUUGGAAGAGGUGGCAUCUUCCUGGGCUGCUCCACAGCUGGGGCCCUUGACCUGCAGUCCAAGGUCACGGCAGGCUGCUUGUUGAGGUUGCUCCAAGCUGCAAAGGCAGAACUGGAAAGUUGUGACAGAGACCAUCGGCCAUGAGCCUGGAAUGGUUGCCAGCUCCUUGUUUAUGUCCUCACUCUGUGCAGUGAGACCAAAGAUUAUGAGUGGGUGAAGGUUUAAAUCACAAGAUUGGCACAGGGAAAGACCCGCAGACACUCAUCUCCCUGAAAGUCCUCCCCUUCGCUUCACACACACUCGUUCUAUUGCCCAGCCACUUCCUGAGGCAGCUCUGGAGUCCUCUUUCCUCAGUGUCUUUAGCUUUGCUGUAGUGACCACCUCCAUGUCCUGAGUGGUUUCAAUUUGUUCACUUUGCUUGGUGAUUUUGACUUUGGGGAAGAGCUGGAAGUCACACAGUGCCAGAUCCAGUGACAAAGGGGGAUGAGGACAUAGCUUUCACUGCGUUACUGAUCAGACCCCUAAACACACGUAUCAAAGAGGACUCCAGAGCUGAGUCAGCAGGUGACCAGAAGGAUGGAUGAGCAAGUGUGGAGCCAGGGGAGGGUUUCCAGCCUUACUGGUGACAAUGUGUCUUUCCCUGCAAUACAUUUAGAAAAUGUAUUCGUCGCACAGAUAGAGGAGAAUGGAAACAAAUUCCAAGCUCAAGGCUGUCCAGGUUUUUGCACCAGCACCGCGCACAGAGCCCGGAGGCAGAAACCACCACACACCCCUCCACCAGGGACGCCCCUCCGCCAGCUCUACAAUGCAGUGCCUCAGCCACAAGAAGGGGCGAAGCACUCACACCUGGAAAAGGUGCUGAGCCACGGAAGUUGGAUACCAACCAUGACGCAGCGUGUGGCGCCAUUCAUAGAGACGCCCGGAACGGGGACACCAAAAACAGGAGAAGCAGACUGGAGGAGGCCAGAGGUGAGGGCCUGGGGAGGGACUGCUGAUGGCCUUAGAGGCCAUCAAAUUGUUUGCUUUAAAGUAAUUGCUUUUGGAAGAGACUGAGGAAGGCUUCAUGGAACAGGCAGGACUUCAGCUGGACAUGGAAGACUGAUGGGAAGAUUAAAGGAUGAUGCUAGGGAGACAUCUGUCUGUAAGCCAGGCCUGAAAGAAAGAAAUGCGCCUUCCUGGUAAGCAGCCAUGGCGCGAACAGCGGGUGAGCCAGGAGGAGAACCAGUCAGCGUCUCCUGUGAGCCUACCAGCCCGUGGGCUGAGAAUCAAACAUCCCAUCCUCUCCCCAAGUUAGCAGCUGGGGGCCAGAGGUCUGAGCACCUCUAGGGAGGAUGACCGUAUGCAGUAUAGAAAUACGGAGGAUUUCCUUCUAUCCUGUCUUUGAAGUCAAAUGUUGUUUUCACUGUUUUGCUUUAUUCGGGUUAAUUGUUUUGCUCUAUUCAAUAUUGCUUUGAGUGGUUUUAUUGUGUUUUGUUUUUGGUUGGAUUUUGCUAUCCUUGAUUGAAUGGACAGCUAUUGUGACGAUAAUGAGAUAUACCAUGGUAACUAUUACUGUUAUCCCGGCAUCCUGCUCUGAAGUUCUGUACCAAUUUCACUGCACUGUCUUGAUUGGCUUUGUUCUGUCUUGUUGUGUUGUAUUUAACUCCCUUCAAAAUAAUAAAAAAUAAUUACUUUUAUGUUAUGUCA